UCUCCGUAGGUGAACCUGCGGAGGGAUCAUUACUGAGUGAGGGCUCCGGCCCGACCUCCAACCCCAUGUGAACCGAAACCUGUUGCUUCGGGGGCGACCCUGCCGUUCGGCGCGGCGCCCCCGGGGUCAAUCAAACACUGCAUUCUCUGCGUCGGAGUUUAAAACAAAUUAAACAAAACUUUCAACAACGGAUCUCUUGGUUCUGGCAUCGAUGAAGAACGCAGC
rnacentral:misc_RNA from 1 species